rnacentral:rRNA from 1 species
AUUGAACGCUGGCGGCAGGCCUAACACAUGCAAGUCGGACGGUAGCACAGAGAGCUUGCUCUUGGGUGACGAGUGGCGGACGGGUGAGUAAUGUCUGGGGAUCUGCCCGAUAGAGGGGGAUAACCACUGGAAACGGUGGCUAAUACCGCAUAACGUCGCAAGACCAAAGAGGGGGACCUUCGGGCCUCUCACUAUCGGAUGAACCCAGAUGGGAUUAGCUAGUAGGCGGGGUAAUGGCCCACCUAGGCGACGAUCCCUAGCUGGUCUGAGAGGAGGACCAGCCAAACUGGAACGGAGACACGGUCCAGACUCCUACGGGAGGCAGCAGUGGGGAAUAUUGCACAAUGGGCGCAAGCCUGAUGCAGCCAUGCCGCGUGUAUGAAGAAGGCCUUCGGGUUGUAAAGUACUUUCAGCGGGGAGGAAGGCGAUGUGGUUAAUAACCGCAUUGAUUGACGUUACCCGCAGAAGAAGCACCGGCUAACUCCGUGCCAGCAGCCGCCGUAA